GACGAACGCUGGCGGCGUGCUUAAUACAUGCAAGUUGAACGCUGAAGGCUGGUUCUUGUACCAACUGGGUGAGCAGCGAACGGGUGAGUAACGCGUGGGCAAUCUUCCUUUGUGCGGGGGACAACAUUUACAAACGAAUGCAAAUACCGCAUAAACACUUUAAACACAAGGUUUAAGUUUGAAAGAUGCAAUUGCAUCACUCACACAGCAUCUCACGUUGUAUUAGCUAGUUGGUGAGGUAAAGGCUCACCAAGGCGGUGAUACAUAGCCGAAGUGAGGGGGUGAUCGGCCGCCUUGGGACGGAGACGCGCCCCAAAGGCCUGCGGUAGGCACCAGUAGGGAACCUGCGGCAAUGGACGGGAGUCUUACCGAGCGAGGCCGCGUGAGUGGCGAAGAUUUUCGGAUCGGAAAAAUCGGUUUGUAGAUAAGAACGGUGGUGAGAGUGGAAAGAUCAUCAAGUGACGGUAACUAGCAAGAAAGGGACGGCUAACUACGUG
rnacentral:rRNA from 1 species